GUUUACCAAAUGCAAGUGUUAUAUGAUUCAGUCCAUAACCCUUUUUCAUAUACUGAAGGGAGAUCCUGAGCUAUGGACAGGAAGAUGAAGAGCAGAAAAAAAUAAAAAAUACUACAGUUUCCUGUUAUAGAAUCCAAGUGGCAACCACUAUGGACAGCGGCAACCACUAUGGAGUCCCCAGAAUAUCAUAAGGUUAAAAUUUAGUAAGGAGGAUCCGAAGAAAUUUGCACAUGAUGAGGCCGUUAAACAAAGAGUACACAGGAACUGACCAAAAAUUCCCAACCUCAUAUGUAUGACAUAAAGUGAAUUACAUAUAUGACAUUUCUAAAAUGGUCCACAGCAACAGUGGAAAAUAUUGUGUCUACAGAAUCAUUGGACUCUGUGAAAGAAGUCAUGUCCCCAAAUGGCUCCUGCAGUUGGUUGAUUUUCAGUCCUUUACAUCAUGCCCUACUCUUCCCAUCCUACCUACAGCCAACUGGCGUAAGUUGGGGCCAACCAACUUCCUUUU